CAGGGAGACAACAAAAUGUAUAUAUUAAUUUUGUCACCUUAGGUCGAUCGGUAUCUCAGAUUCUUUUUUAAGAAUUUCAGUUUCUAAGUUUUUUCUAGGUCACACCCAUCAUUUUUCCUGGGCCAUUAGCUCAGGUGGUUAGAGCGCACCCCUGAUAAGGGUGAGGUCCCUGGUUCAAGUCCAGGAUGGCCCAUAUCUCUAUGUUGGGGGUAUAGCUCAGUUGGUAGAGCGCCUGCUUUGCAAGCAGGAUGUCAGCGGUUCGAGUCCGCUUACCUCCACUGAAUACCACCUCUUACAUAUUUUAUAAAGGGAAAUUGUUUUGAGAUGUGACUUUUUUACUCUGAGAGAAUCUAGCUUCCUAUUUUUUUUUAAUAAAUAAGAUGCUGGACUCAUUGAAUUAUCAUUCAUUGUUUUCAGAGAACCUUGACAACUGCAUAGAUUAUUUUGAAGACAAUAAGCAUCUUUAAUGAUGCAGAUUUAUUAUUUGUGCGAAUGCAUUAAAUAACAAUUCUAUUAAGCUGAUGCUUCAAUUAUUGAAGUUAUU
rnacentral:tRNA from 1 species